GUUUGAUUUCGAGCGUCACUUCGUCCGCUUGUCGUCCAGGGAGCCUUUCGCGCUCGCCUACUUUCAGUUUUAUGGAGAAGUUACAUAAAGCUUAAGGACUCUAGUACGCGGCUUUAAAGUGUCUCUCGGAAAAUGGUGAAUUAGCCUCGCAAGAUUGAUGCCACGGAAAAAAGAAACUCUUUUUUUUUUUUAAACAAAAAAAGAGCAUUGACUCAGCAUUUAAUUAGCCACACCGACCCGGAACGGAAACGCAUAUAUGUCCAAAGCUAAGCAACCACAGUAGCGGCGUCGUUAUGCCGACUAAUACCCGGUGACAUUGCUGUAAGCAAAGGUGGCUGUCAUACUGUCGAUCCGCUCAGAUAUGGAGGCAGGAAGGAGGCAUCCGGCUGCAGAAAGAGGGGGACCAAACCGGGGAGCAAGGCUGAGCUGACGGAGGAGCGAAAGAUGGAGAUCAGAGAAGCGUUUGACCUCUUUGACACUGACGGCUCGGGAACCAUCGAUGUCCGAGAGCUUAAGCCGUGUGAAUCCUGUGAGUCAGCUUCUGCUCACCGAUGCCAGCACAGAAGGAGCAGUGAAAGGUAGCAAAGAGUGCCCUGGGUUUCGAGCCUACGAAAGAGGAAAUAAUGAAGAUGGUUGCCAGCAUUGAUAAGGAAGGCUCUGAAUGAAAAGGAAAUCCCAAAAGCCUUCUGGCUGUUUGAUGACAAUGGCACUGGAAAAAUCUCUUUGAAAAUAGUUGCCAGAGAACUCGGUGAGAACAGAUGAGGAGCUGCAAGAAAUGAUUGAUGAGGCUGAUGGAGAUGGCGACGGGGACGUCAACGAGCAGGAAUUUAACCUUUUUUAUUCAGCAAUGGAAUUUCAUAGUUUGUUUUACAUAUUAGACGUUAUUAACUUUUUUGUUAUGAAAAUAAUUUUUCACAAUAUGAUUACAAAUUGGUAACAUGGGACAAAAAUCUGUUUCAUCUGACUUGGCAAUUAUGUAUAUUGUGUAUGUAUAUUUCUUUAUUUUAUCGCAAACACUAUAAUGGCUAAGUUAUAAGUUCUAAAAGUUAUAAGCUCUAAAAUUUACAUUUUCUGUAAAACCCCUGUUAUGUAGAUACAUUUAGAUACAUUUUAGUGAAUUCAUCAUUGGGGGGUUACUACUGUACAUGCAUCAUUUAUUGAUUUACUCGUCUCUGGUCAAUGGAUAUUGUAAUAUUAAUUUAAUUUUCACCAAAACUAAUUGUUAAGACUCCAAGACUUACAAAAAGUUUUAAACCAAACUUUUUAAAAAUAAAAACUUUUUUUUGCA